UUACAGGUUCCAAGGAUCCCAAGAAGAGAUGUUGAAGAGACUUUAAAACCGACGCCAUGAGAAGAGAGACUCUCUCUACUGAUGGUGGUUUGUUCUAAAGCCUCUAACAAAUUCAUGGGACGUCGGUAUAAACACUACUUAAAGAAGAAUUAUUAAUCAGUCAAGAUCAUCUGAAGAAAAAUAAGAAGAGCAUUCAUCCCCCAGGGCACGUCAGAUAAGACCAAGGUUCCAAGGAUCCCAAGAAGAGAUGUUGAAGAGACUUUAAAACCGACGCCAUGAGAAGAGAGACUCUCUCUACUGAUGGUGGUUUGUUCUAAAGCCUCUAAAAAAUUCAUGGGACGUCGGUAUAAACACUACUUAAAGAAGAAUUAUUAAUCAGUCAAGAUCAUCUGAAGAAAAAUAAGAAGAGCAUUCAUCCCCCAGGGCACGUCAGAUAAGACCAAGGUUCCAAGGAUCCCAAGAGGAGAUGUUGAAGAGACUUUAAAACCGACGCCAUGAGAAGAGAGACUCUCUCUACUGAUGGUGGUUUGUUCUAAAGCCUCUAAAAAAUUCAUGGGAGAUCGGUAUAAACACUACUUAAAGAAGAAAUAUUAAGCGAUCAAGAUCUUCUGAAGAAUACAGAGAAGAGGUUAGAUCCCACACGGCACGUGAGAGAAGACGAAGGUUCCAAGGAUCCCAAGAAGAGAUGUUGAAGAGACUUUAAAACCGACGCCAUGAGAAGAGAGACUCUCUCUACUGAUGGUGGUUUGUUCUAAAGCCUCUAAAAAAUUCAUGGGAGAUCGGUAUAAACACUACU